UUAGCGCAAUAGGCAGUGUGUCAGUCUCACAAUCUGAAGGUCCUGAGUUCGGGUCUCAGA
rnacentral:tRNA from 1 species